rnacentral:rRNA from 1 species
UACAGAGGUCCCGAGCGUUGUUCGGAUUCACUGGGCGUAAAGCGCGCGCAGGCGGCCUCGCGCGCCCGACGUGAAAGCCCCCGGCUUAACCGGGGAGGGUCGUUGGGGACGGCGGGGCUUGAGGGCGGGAGAGGGUGGUGGAAUUCCCGGUGUAGUGGUGAAAUGCGUAGAGAUCGGGAGGAACACCCGUGGCGAAGGCGGCCACCUGGGCCGACCCUGACGCUGAGGCGCGAAGGCGUGGGGAGCGAACGGG